rnacentral:rRNA from 1 species
UACUCCUACGGGAGGCAGCAGUGGGGAAUAUUGGACAAUGGGCGCAAGCCUGAUCCAGCCAUGCCGCGUGAGUGAUGAAGGCCCUAGGGUUGUAAAGCUCUUUCACCGGUGAAGAUAAUGACGGUAACCGGAGAAGAAGCCCCGGCUAACUUCGUGCCAGCAGCCGCGGUAAUAAU